GAUGAAGAACGUAGUGAAAUGCGAUAAGUAGUGUGAAUUGCAGAAUUCAGUGAAUCAUCGAAUCUUUGAACGCACAUUGCGCCUCCUGGUAUUCCGGGAGGCAUGCCUGUUCGAGCGUCAUUAAAAUCACUCAAGCUUAGGUUUACCUAUUGCUUGGUCUUGGAGAUGGAAGCCAAUUUAUUGGAAUCCUCUUCGAAAUUCAAUGGCGAAGACCCUUGCUCUCCCAAGUGUAGUAAUAACUUAUGUCACUGAAGGAAGCGAGAAAUCUUCUGCCGUAACCCCCAUAUUUUCUAUGAUUGACCUCGGAUCAGGUAGGGAUACCCGCUGAACUUAAGCAUAUCAAUAAGCGGAGGA
rnacentral:misc_RNA from 1 species